GACGAACGCUGGCGGCGUGCCUAAUACAUGCAAGUCGAGCGCAGGAAACUGACGGAACUCUUCGGAGGGAAGGCAGUGGAAUGAGCGGCGGACGGGUGAGUAACACGUAAGGAACCUGCCUCAAGGAUUGGGAUAACCACGAGAAAUCGGGGCUAAUACCGGAUGUGUCAUCGGACCGCAUGGUCCGCUGAUGAAAGGCGCUCCGGCGUCGCCCAUGGAUGGCUUUGCGGUGCAUUAGCUAGUUGGUGGGGUAACGGCCCACCAAGGCGACGAUGCAUAGCCGACCUGAGAGGGUGAUCGGCCACACUGGGACUGAGACACGGCCCAGACUCCACGGGAGGCAGCAGUAGGGAAUCUUCCACAAUGGACGAAAGUCUGAUGGAGCAACGCCGCGUGAACGAUGAAGGCUUUCGGGUCGUAAAGUUCUGUUGUAAGGGAAGAACAAGUGCCGCAGGCAAUGGCGGCACCUUGACGGUACCUUGCGAGAAAGCCACGGCUAACUACGUGCCAGCAGCCGCGGUAAUAC
rnacentral:rRNA from 1 species